rnacentral:lncRNA from 1 species
AUGACACGCAAGGUGGCACGGGCGGUUCCCGCGGGGGGGAGGUGGGUGGUGGUGGGGGGCAGGGGUGGUAGCAAGAGGUUGCGGGGCGAUGGUGGAAGGUUUAACGGGACCGAUUUCUGGAACAUUCGGGACUGCGGCACCCUACGGCCAGACCGAGAUUUGGGUCUGCGCAGGCGACGAUGGGUGGUCCGACGGGCUUCAGGACUUGAUGGCGUAACCCCCUUCUUUCCCCACGUACAGGUCCGGCUCUUUCUCCGAGUUUAUUUCCUGUAUUGCUUACGACAACGCUGCGAGGAGCGUCCCAUGGCUGAGAACUCAGAGGAGUUGAGCUCCAUGAGUAGGUGA